ACGGCUCAGUAACACGUGGACAACCUACCCUGAGGUCGGGGAUAAACCCGGGAAACUGGGUAUAAUACCCGAUAGAUCUAGAUCGCUGGAAUGCUUUUAGGUCUAAAGUUCCGACGCCUCAGGAUGGGUCUGCGGCCUAUCAGGGUAGUAGUGGGUGUAAAGUACCUACUAGCCCACGACGGGUACGGGUUGUGAGAGCAAGAGCCCGGAGAUGGAUUCUGAGACACGAAUCCAGGCCCUACGGGGUGCAGCAGGCGCGAAACCUUUACAAUGCUGGCAACAGCGAUAAGGGGACCUCGAGUGCUACGAUACAAUCGUGGCUGUCUAGUUGCCUAAAAAGCAAUUGAUAGCAAGGGCCGGGCAAGACCGGUGCCAGCCGCCGCGGUAACACCGGCGGCUCGAGUGGUAACCGCUAUUAUUGGGUCUAAAGGGUCUGUAGCCGGCUUAGUUAGUCUCUUGAGAAAUCUGGCCGCUUAACGGUCAGGCGUUCAGGGGAUACUGCUAAAGCUCGAGACCGGGAGAGGUGAGAGGUACUUCAGGGGUAGGGGUGAAAUCUUGUAAUCCUUGAAGGACCACCAGUGGCGAAGGCGUCUCACCAGAACGGAUCUGACGGCAAGGGACGAAAGCUAGGGGCACGAACCGGAUUAGAUACCCGGGUAGUCCUAGCCGUAAACGAUACUCGCUAGGUGUCGGCCACGGUGCGACCGUGGUCGGUGCCGUAGGGAAGCCGUGAAGCGAGCCACCUGGGAAGUACGGCCGCAAGGCUGAAACUUAAAGGAAUUGGCGGGGGAGCAC
rnacentral:rRNA from 1 species